GCACUGCUGAGGAGUCCCAUACUAGAACGAAAUGGCCGUUCAGUAC
rnacentral:hammerhead_ribozyme from 1 species